GAUCAUUAUUUCCUCCCCUCUCCUUCCUUUCCUCUAUCACAGCUAGGUUUCUUCCAUCUCCUUUCCACCGCUAGGUUUCUUCCAUCUCCUUUCCUUUCCUCUAUCACCGCUAGGUUUCCUCUCUCCCACCCCUUCUUUCCUUUCGUAUUUGCAGCGCACCAGCGCACCAGGUUCUUCCCUCUUCGCAGUAAGCAAGGAGUUCAAAGGUAACCCUAUAUCUUAUUUCUUCCCUCUCCGCAGCACCGUGCGUAACCUCGUCAGGCGAUGAGAGGAUGCUUUAGGUGCGGCCACACUCAAGGGGGUCGCAACCUCUCCAAACCACUAGUUUACUAGCGGUCGAUUUGCGAAUGGCUGCACGCUAGGGGGUCGAUGCCUCACGAGGCAGUCCGUUCACAAACGGUUGCACACGAGGGGGUCUAAGCAGUGGCCUGUAGCGAGGCAACGACAUCGUUAUCUGCUUCUGAAACUCUCGUGUUUUUCCAUCUCCAUAUACUGGUAAGCUUUUCAAGAAGAUGGAAUUGCACAAGCUAGCAGAUAUGCUACUGAGGAUUCAAUUAAGUCAUGGCUUAAUGAAUUACUUUGCUUGGAUGUUGCAAGUUACAUUCCAAAUAUCACUAUGUUAGUAUUCUUGAUGAAAAGUAAAUAAUUGUUUUUCAGGUCAUUCUCUAAAUGAUCUUUUAUUUGUCUAGACUUCCACAUCCAAGUGAAUGUGCCCUUUACUAUGUCAACCGAGAUAUAUUUUUCUAAUAUCACAAGGAGAGUGAGAUAUGUUUAUAGGUUUGUCUCUCCAUUGUGGAAUUCAAUGAUAUUUUUUCUCCUCAUAGAGAGAAGACUACACUUGAGCAUGAGCCUAGCUUGUGGUUGCUGCAGUUGGCUUCAAGGCAAGAAGGCCUGAGAUCCCAAGUACUGUAAAUAGACAUGUGGCUGCCAUAAUUGAGUCCUGUUGGGCCAGCGAGCCAUGGAAAAGGCCUUCUUUUUCUAGUAUCAUGGAAUCCUUGAAGCCUCUAAUCAAGACUCAGUCACCUCAACCGUUACAUUCUGAUAUGUCUAGUAUCCAAUAGCCAGAUGAUUGCAUAUUCCUAAGAGAGAUGUGUAUUGUAUCUAUUCUACUUGUCAAAAAGGGUCCCCUUCAAAUUUUGCCUGUCAGAGGAUCAGGUGCUUUUCAAUUUCCACAUGCCAAUGAAGCUGCUGCCAGUUUUCAUUGCAUCACCGCCAACACGAUCGAUCUAAUCAGCUAUAGAUAUUUUUCAGUAAAUUGAAGUUCCAUUCGCGUUUAUAUGUAUAUUUUGUUUAACCUAGGUGCAUUAUAUUUUUAUCCGAGCUUACAUUGAAAAAAGCUUAUUAGGAAAGAGCACAAGCCUUUUGAGGUUGUGUUGCAAUUUCAGAGUGAUAUCAGCAUGGAACUUGUAUAUUGCCAGCAUGGAACUUGUAUAUCUACAAAAAGCAUUCUUGCUUAUGAGAUUUGGAAGAUGGCAUCAGAGUUUACAAAUCUCAAGUACUCCAGAGUUGAAAUUGAUGAAGUGCGGUUCGAGUGAGCUGAA